rnacentral:misc_RNA from 1 species
ACAUGGCAACAGUAUUAAUCAAAUCAAAAUUUAAUUAUUUCCUUUAAAAUAUAUCACGCGCCGUUACGGCCGUCCUGCAUCUUCACACGUCCUCGUGUGUAUCCUCGAAAGUUUUUGAAAACAAAGCCAAACAUGUUGUUAAUACUUGUAUGCUCGGUCAUACUGACCAACUAAAUAAAGUCACGUUAUGCUGCACAGGCACAUAACGCACUUAGGCUGCUAUGCCAUACAGCAUAUUUUGCCACACAGGCUACUUUACCACACAGGCUAUACAGCAUAUUUUGCCACACAGGCUACUAUGCCACACAGGCUACUAUCACAUAAACUGUGGUUUAUCACAAGAAAUCACAUACCUACCAUCGCCGUUAUCGGCACGUCCUGACUCUGCAUCAAUAGGUGUUUUGUAGGCGUUAACUACCGCGAGAGUUUCCAACUCAU